CAGCAGCCGCGGUAAUACGUAGGUGGCAAGCGUUGUCCGGAAUUAUUGGGCGUAAAGGGCUCGCAGGCGGUUUCUUAAGUCUGAUGUGAAAGCCCCCGGCUCAACCGGGGGGGGUCAUUGGAAACUGGGAAACUUGAGUGCAGAAGAGGAGAGUGGAAUUCCACGUGUGGCGGUGAAAUGCGUAGAGGUGUGGAGGAACACCAGUGGCGAAGGCGACUCUCUGGUCUGUAACUGACGCUGAGGAGCGAAAGUGUGGGGAGCGAACAGGGUUAGAUACCCCGGUAGUCCCUGUCCCUUAUAC
rnacentral:rRNA from 1 species